UACGUAGGGACCAAGCGUUGUUCGGAUUUACUGGGCGUAAAGGGCGCGUAGGCGGCGCGGUAAGUCACUUGUGAAAUCUCUGAGCUUAACUCAGAACGGCCAAGUGAUACUGCAGUGCUAGAGUGUGGAAGGGGCAAUCGGAAUUCUUGGUGUAGCGGUGAAAUGCGUAGAUAUCAGGAGGAACACCGGUGGCGAAGGCGGUUCUCUGGGCAUGAUCUGACGCUGAGGAGCGAAAGUGUGGGGAGCGAACAGG
rnacentral:rRNA from 1 species